UACGAAGGGGGCUAGCGUUGCUCGGGAAUUACUGGGCGUAAAGGGCGCGUAGGCGGAUGUUUUAAGUCAGAGGUGAAAGCCCCAGGGCUCAACCUUGGAACUGCCUUUGAUACUGGGCAUCUUGAGUAUGGGAGAGGUGAGUGGAACUCCGAGUGUAGAGGUGAAAUUCGUAGAUAUCGGAAGAACACCUGUGGCGAAAGCGGCUCACUGGACCACACUACGUGAGGCGCGAAAGCUAGGGGAGCAAACAGG
rnacentral:rRNA from 1 species